UCCUACGGGAGGCAGCAGUGGGGAAUAUUGGACAAUGGGCGAAAGCCUGAUCCAGCCAUGCCGCGUGUGUGAAGAAGGUCUUCGGAUUGUAAAGCACUUUAAGUUGGGAGGAAGGGUUGUAGAUUAAUACUCUGCAAUUUUGACGUUACCGACAGAAUAAGCACCGGCUAACUCUGUGCCAGCAGCCGCGGUAAUACAGAGGGUGCAAGCGUUAAUCGGAAUUACUGGGCGUAAAGCGCGCGUAGGUGGUUCGUUAAGUUGGAUGUGAAAUCCCCGGGCUCAACCUGGGAACUGCAUCCAAAACUGGCGAGCUAGAGUAUGGUAGAGGGUGGUGGAAUUUCCUGUGUAGCGGUGAAAUGCG
rnacentral:rRNA from 1 species